UACAGGGACUGCAAGCGUUAUUCGGAUUCACUGGGCGUAAAGGGUGCGCAGGUGGCCAGGUGUGUCAGAUGUGAAAUCCCGGGGCUUAACUCCGGAACUGCGUCUGAAACUGCUUGGCUAGAGCAUUGGAGAGGGUAGUGGAAUUCACGGUGUAGCAGUGAAAUGCGUAGAUAUCGUGAGGAACACCAGAGGCGAAGGCGACUACCUGGACAAUAGCUGACACUCAGGCACGAAAGCGUGGGGAGCCAAAGGG
rnacentral:rRNA from 1 species